rnacentral:rRNA from 1 species
AGGAUUCCCCUAGUAACGGCGAGUGAAGAGGGAAAAGCCCAGCACCGAAGCCUGCGCAGUUUUGCUGUUAGGCAAUGUGGUGUUUGGGUCGGCUCGUGGGACCACCACUCCACUCGAAGUCCAGCAUUGAGUAUGGUUACUGGAUUUGGCCCAGAGAGGGUGAAAGGCCCGUACGGUGGAGUAUCAGACAUGUGAGGUGGUUCACCAGGUCGGCCUUAGAGUCGGGUUGUUUGGGAAUGCAGCCCAAAGUGGGUGGUAAACUCCAUCCAAGGCUAAAUACAAGCACGAGUCCGAUAGCGAACAAGUACCGUGAGGGAAAGUUGAAAAGUACUCUGAAGAGAGAGUAAACAGUACGUGAAACCGCAUGCAGGUAAACGGGUGGCGUCAAGCUGCAAGCCCGGAGAAUUCAGCCGGCUAGGUUGUAGUGUAUGCGCCUGGCGCAUCUAUCAGUCAGAGUAUGAUUGGGUAGUCCACUAGUAAACAGUGGGCCUGUCCGCAAGGGCAGGAUAUGUGUACCGGGUGGGUGCCGGAGCAUGCUAUCCGUCUGUGGACUGUCUAGCCGGUGCACUUUCUCCGUGGUCAACACCACGACCGGUGGUAUUGCCAGUCUGCUGUGUCCAAGUCGUAUUUGGUAGGUCCUUGUGGCCAACCGAGUGCGAUCACAGGCAAACUCAGUAAACGGCGUGAGGGUGUUUCGGCACUUUCAUGUGUUAUCGGCUACUGGUUGUCAACGGGCCUGCUCUGUGUUUGUUGUAGCCGACACAGGGUGGUUCGGUGGGGCAUGGUGGUAAGAAUAACUGUGCAAGGCACUGGGGUUAUCGGCCUCAAAUGCGUCCUGCGUCCACGUUACAAGUGUGUGUAGGUACUGUGUCGCCGCUGCCUGCUCGGUGCUGGGUGUGAUUGGCGUGUUGCCUGCGCAAAGUAGGCCCGCUAAUGGCUCGGUUCGAGGUGGGUGGUUGGUGGCGUUGUCGACGGCCGGGGCGUGGUGGGCCUAAUA